rnacentral:tRNA from 1 species
GGGGCCGUAGCUCAGCUGGGAGAGCACCUGCCUUGCACGCAGGGGGUCAGGAGUUCGAUCCUCCUCGGCUCCA